rnacentral:lncRNA from 1 species
CCUCCCACACUUGAAAAAGGUGUAGAGAAAAAGCCACUUCUUUGCUCCCUAGAGAUUUAGGUGCUAGGGCUGCAAAAUAAGCUUUAGCCUUUUUUUUUUUGGAGUGUAGAUUUACCUUUUUUUCUUUUGAGUAUGUGGGGUUUUUAAAAAUCAGGUUAACUAGUUAUCAGCCAUAAAAUAACAUUGUUGGUUUAGGGGGCAGAGUCCUGCCUGAUAAGUGAAGGAAAAUUGUGCUAUCUCCUCUUGGGGGAUGGAAGACUUGGCUUGAGUCGGGAUGUCACCGAGAAAGGUUUGGGAAGGUGUUGUCAUUUACUGCAGAUUCUAAGAGGCGAGUUGAGUGUAACUUUUUGGUCCUGGGAGAUGUCAAGAAAAUAAGCUCAUCAGAGAAGAUAUUCAUCCGGUUCCCCGACCUUCAGACCCGAGUGGACUCCGGCUUCUCCACGUUGAGACCUCACCGCCGUCGUAUUGACAGGAUGAGGCCUUGUUUUCUCUGGCCCAGACAACUGAAAGCGGAUCCCGCCCUGAGGAGAAAGAUCCCCGAAAUGAAAUUGAGCGCGUGUGAGGUGAGAAUCGACGUUCCCUUGACCCCGUAGGAGAGGAAUCGGGCCGCCGCACAGAGUCCUCGGUGGAAGAGACGACCUCUGUUCUCGAAGAGCUUAGAAUCUAGUGGCAGAGAGACACACCGAGCCAUUUACAGGUGGGAGGAAGAGGCGAGAGGAAAGAUGAUAAUCUAGAUGAGCAAGUUCUUAAGAGUUAAGAAUGUCAGACGACGUGUCUGGGUGCAGAUACGACGCGGAAGUGCUGAGGUGAUACCUGGGAUAUGACCUGAGGAGAAGCCAAAUUAAUCAAGAAGAGCCUCUAUCGCUUGAACCGGCAUAAGGAUUUAUUUAUUUCCUCCUUCCUCCGGAGGCAAAUCUCUGAACGGUGAUAAGUAAACUGUUCAAUCCUCUUUAUCUGGAAAUAAUUACAGCGGCUGAGGGGUUUGAUUUUGGUAAACACUGUCGGAUCGCAAAAUAAAUGCCUCCUCGGCGUUAUCAAAGAGGGCUGUUAAAUGGUGCGCUCGCCGCCCGCGGUGUAGCCUAAACCAGGUCAGGGCAGGUCUGCAAAAUCCCAG